UUACGACCAUUUCACGCUGAAACACGGGUCCUCGUGCGAUCACCGAAGUUAAGCAACGUUGAGCUUGGUCAGUACCUAGAUAGAUGAUAUUUUGUGAAUACCAGAU